rnacentral:rRNA from 1 species
AACGCUGGCGGCGUGCUUAACACAUGCAAGUCGAGCGGAGAUUGCAUUUAUGUAAUCUUAGCGGCGGACGGGUGAGUAACGCGUAGGCAACCUGCCUUGCACAGAGGGAUAACACCGGGAAACUGGUGCUAAUACCACAUGAUAUCAUAACAAGGCAUCUUGAAAUGAUCAAAGGAGAAAUCCGGUGCAAGAUGGGCCUGCGUCCGAUUAGUUAGUUGGUGAGGUAACGGCUCACCAAGGCGACGAUCGGUAGCCGAACUGAGAGGUUGAUCGGCCACAUUGGGACUGAGACACAGCCCAGACUCCUACGGGAGGCAGCAGUGGGGAAUAUUGCGCAAUGGGGGGAACCCUGACGCAGCAACGCCGCGUGAAGGAAGAAGGCCUUCGGGUUGUAAACUUUUUUGAUUGGGGAAGAAAAAAAUGACGGUACCCAAGGAACAAGCCACGGCUAACUACGUGCCAGCAGCCGCGGUAAUACGUAGGUGGCGAGCGUUGUCCGGAAUUACUGGGUGUAAAGGGCGUGUAGGCGGGAUUGUAAGUCAGAUGUGAAAUUCCAGGGCUUAACUCUGGAGGUGCAUCUGAAACUAUAAUUCUUGAGUGCUGGAGAGGAAAGCGGAAUUCCUAGUGUAGCGGUGAAAUGCGUAGAUAUUAGGAAGAACACCAGUGGCGAAGGCGGCUUUCUGGACAGUAACUGACGCUGAGGCGCGAAAGCGUGGGGAGCAAACAGGAUUAGAUACCCUGGUAGUCCACGCUGUAAACGAUGGAUACUAGGUGUAGGAGGUAUCGACCCCUUCUGUGCCGGAGUUAACACAAUAAGUAUCCCACCUGGGGAGUACGG